rnacentral:rRNA from 1 species
GGAUUUCCUUAGUAGCGGCGAGCGAACAGAAAUGAGCCCAACACUGAAUGCCGCGGCGUAUUGCUGCAAGGAAAUGUAGUGUUCAGGAGGAUCCGUUUAUCCCGCGACGUCGAAUUGGGUCCAAGUCCAUCUUGAAUGGGGCCAUUUACCCUUUGAGGGUGCCAGGAUCGUAGUGACCACUACGCGUUUCGGGAGAUGCAGCCCUAAGUGCGUGGUAAACUCCAUCUAAGGCUAAAUAUGACCACUAGACCGAUAGCGAACAAGUACCGCGAGGGAAAGUUGAAAAGAACUUUGAAGAGAGAGUUCAAGAGUACGUGAAACCGUUCAGGGGUAAACCUGAGAAAUCUAAAAGAUCGAAUGGGGAGAUUCAACGUCAACRAAGCCGGCUCCCGUUGGUAUGCGAUACUCCGAUUAGGCCUCCGUGGUUCCAAGGCCAGGGUACGCCACCUUCGGCGAACGUUCCGGCGAUAUAGUCGUGCAAUUCUCCCUUAGUAGAACGUUGCGAUCCGUUGCAUGUCGGUCUACUGCUCGGGCUGUUGCCUGUCGUCGCGCCUUCGUGCGCUCGCGGUAGAGGCUCGGUCGCCCGGCCGGCUGCACGACGGUACUUUGACGGUAUCGGGCCGCAACCAAUCCAUAAUCAAAUGUGUGUGCGUCAGGCCCGCCGCAAGCUCGGACAGUUUUACCCGGAGUGUGCGGACCUAGUGCCCUCCCUGGGUCUAGCCAGCUGUUGGCAGGCGGUGUUCUUGGACUGGCUAAGCUUUUGAAUUACCGGUCGGCGACGCUACUGCUUUGGGUACUCUCAGGACUCGUUUUGAAACACGGACCAAUGAGUCUAACAUGUGCRCGAAUCAUUGGGACAUGUAAAUCUAAAGGCGCAAUGAAAGUGAAGGUCGAUCCUAGCGCCGACCAAAGGAGGAUGGGCCGCCGUACGUGUCGGCCCCGCACUCCCGGGGCGUCUCAUUUACAUUGCGAGGAGAUGCGCACCCAGAACGUACACGUUGGGACCCGAAAGAUGGUGAACUAUGUCUGGUCAGGACGAUGUCAGGAGGAACUCUGAUGGAGGUCCGUGGCGAUUCUGACGUGCAAAUCGAUCGUCGGAACUGGGUAUAGGGGUAAAAGACUAAUCGAACCAUCUAGVWRGUUYCCCHCRAUCGVUCGUUCCUCCGUGAACGUGUGCGAGUUUKAUCRGGUAAAGCGAAUGAUUAGAGGCCUUGGGGCCGAAACGACCUCAACCUAUACUCAAACUUUAAAUGGGCGAGAUCUCUAGCUUGCUUGGAUCAUGAAGCCAAGAGAUUUUGAAUCCGAGUGCCAAGUGGGCCAAUUUUGGUAAGCAGAACUUGCGCUGUGAGAUGAACCAAACGCAGAGUUAAAGCGCCUAAGUCGACGCUUAUGGGAUACCAUGACAGGUGUUGGUUGCUUUAGACAGCA